UAUCACUUUCUCUUUUUUAAAGUGUGUCUCAUGAUGAUAGCCCUGUCUUGAAUGAAAAAUCAGCAUGCUCCAUGAAUUCUUCUCCUGACUUAUUAAAUGGAUGAUUCUAUUUCCAUUGAUAACAAAAUUCUAUUCAGAAUGUCAAAGUGUUCUGAUCAAGAUAUUAAUGGGUAUUUCAAUCUCAAUUUAGAGAAGAAAUACCCACUAUCUCUACUCCAGGCACAUCUUUGGUCUUUGAUAAAGAGGGAUUUGCCUGGCUUCUAAUAACAUUCUCCCUCACCUUACCCAAAUCAUCAGUUUCCUGGUUGGGUUCCUUAAGAGUCUGGAUCCUAAUUUGGCUGUGCAUUUCCUGAGAUUGGAGUGGAAAGAAAAGGAAUUCAUAGUGUUGCAGCAAUGCUCAGCAAAGAAAUCUCUUCCCAAAUCCUCUCCAAUAUCUACAUUUUAAGAGGGGAAAACUAGCAUGCUAUGCUAUGUGAAAGGAAAAGUUGGAGAAGAGAGACAAUAUCAAUGAGGAGAGCCAGGGAGUAUUUCUGAGUAGCAAGAAGAGCAAACAUCUGAAUCUCAAGUUUGAAUCAUUUACCUCCUCCACAAAGGGCAUGGGAAAAUGCUUGACUUUUAUUGCCAAAUAAAACAGUGGAGGAAUUUUGGGAGAAAAUUGUUGCCUUAAGUUCUCUCAUUCUGC